GUGAAUCAUCGAAUUUUUGAACGCAAAUUGCACUCUCCUCGGAGAGGAGGGCUGUUUGAGGUUCAGCCUAUGAAAAAUCGACAUUGUUGGUGGUUGAUGGUGUCUUUGGUCGGAGAUGGGUUAUCUUAAGUCUCGGUUUAAGCUACUUAAAAAUUUCUUUUGGUUCCAUUAACGUGUCUAAGAUCUAUUUCUUUACACGUUUAAGGUAUCGAUGUUUACUAGACGUGACCAUCAUAUCGGAUCGCGCCCAUAAUUUUUCAUUAACUUGACUUAGACAGGUAUGAGUACCCGCGG
rnacentral:misc_RNA from 1 species